UACGUAGGGGGCAAGCGUUGUCCGGAAUCAUUGGGCGUAAAGCGCGUGUAGGCGGUCCGAUAAGUUCGCUGUGAAAGUCGGGGGCUUAACCCUCGGAUGCCGGUGAAUACUGUCGGGCUUGAGUACGGAAGAGGCGAGUGGAAUUCCUGGUGUAGCGGUGAAAUGCGCAGAUAUCAGGAGGAGCACCAAUUGCGAAGGCAGCUCGCUGGGACGUUACUGACGCUGAGACGCGAAAGCGUGGGGAGCAAACAGG
rnacentral:rRNA from 1 species